UGUUUGCACCGGCAAUUACUUUCGAGUUACUCGGCCGCCAUGUUUGUGCUAUGUAAAAUAAUUGAUUCAUAAAAAGAAACGGCUUGGUUGACCACAGCUUUACUCGUCAACACUCGCCCCCGCCGAUUUCCAGACUGCAUCUCAAGGGAGCUGGUGGUGUGUAUCUGCUUCAAGAGAAGCUUGGAGUUUGGAAUACAGAACGGGGCAGGAACAAGUUCUUAAGCUCACCGUCUCCUCCCCCGCCGGGCUGAGACUUACAGCAUGAGAGUAGGCGCCAUAGGCCCCAAACUGGAUGGUCAUGGGACUGAAGAUGCCGAGCUGGCCCGCCAUCUGGUGCAUCCUACGCAGGGUCCUCUCCUUAUC